GACGAACGCUGGCGGCGUGCUUAACACAUGCAAGUCGAACGGAAAGGCCCUGCUCUUGUGGGGUGCUCGAGUGGCGAACGGGUGAGUAACACGUGAGUAAACUGCCCUUGUCUUUGGGAUAACUUCAGGAAAAUGGGGAUAAUACCGGAUAGGAGAUCCUGCUGCAUGGUGGGGGUUGGUAAGUUUCGGCGGUUGGGGAUGGACUCGCGGCUUAUCAGCUUGAUGGUGGGGUAGUGGCUUACCAGGGCUUUGACGGGUAGCCGGCCUUAGAGGGUGACCGGCCACAUGGGGACUGAGAUACGGCCCAGACUCCUACGGUACGCAGCAGUGGAGAAUCUUGCACAAUGGGCGGAAGCCUGAUGCAGCAACGCCGCGUGCGUGAUGACGUCCUUCUGGUUGUAAACCGCUGUCUCCUUAGACGAAGCGUGAGUGACGGUAAUGGGUAAAGAAGCACCGGCUAACUACGUG
rnacentral:rRNA from 1 species